UAGGCAUGGUGAAAUACCUGUAAUCGUACAUGUUUUGUAUAAUUUUUCUAUUUGAUUGUCAAAACGGGUUUUCAUUUUCUUUUAGGAAACCCCUUAAUUUCAGGCUAUACCCUAAAAAGGAAACAAGAAUCUUCCAAAUAACUAUAGAUUGGUCAUUCCGUGUUAGGAAUCACACGUUAAAAGACUCUUGACUACGAUCGAGAUGGGCUAACAAAAAUGAAAAAGGCAGUGAAGGCCAUACAUACAUCUGGAAAUUAUAUGCUAUCUCUCUCGCUCUCCCAGACGUCAUACGGGCUAUCUGGCUGGAGGUAGUGGUUGCGUUCAUCAGUGUGUGCAUCGUACCUGUUACAGAUAAUAACUUAUUACAAAACGAUAACACCUCAAAAGACGAUGAUGACAAUGAAAAUGACAGCAGUGAUGAAGAUGAUGAUGAUGAUUAUCAAGAUGCCUUCGUUUUUUGUGAUAAAAGUUAUGGAUUAAAAAAUCAUGAAAACAUGCGAAUUAUUGUUUAUUUUCAUACUUGAGGUUCAUUAUUAUCCUAAUUUUUAUAACAAUAUACUAUUAUUUUGAUACCGUAUUAAUCCACUAAAUUAUUCAAUGGUUUUUAGUCCUUUCUCUUAAAUUUAUUUGACAACUCAUUCUAAACUAAGCAACAUGAUACCACAUAACCUUUCACUUUCAGAUCUGUCUGGUUAAGGUUUAACAAUUGAAUUAAUGUUAGGCGAAUUGAUUUUGGGUUUUUAGA